GAUGAAGAACGCAGCGAAAUGCGAUAAGUAAUGUGAAUUGCAGAAUUCAGUGAAUCAUCGAAUCUUUGAACGCACCUUGCGCCUUUUGGUAUUCCGAAAGGCACACCUGUUUGAGCGUCAUGAAUACCUCAAUCUCCAUCUUUUCUUCGGAUUGAUGGGUGACUUGGAUGUUGAGCCCUGCUGGUAUGCUAUAUCAGCUGGCUUUAAACUUAUUAGCCGGCUCUGUACUGGAUCGGUUUGACUCGACGUGAUAAUAUUAUCGUUGAGGAUGCAUGUCUCAUGCAGCCGGAAAGUAUCAAAGCAGCUUCUCUCUUGCCUUUAGUGCACUUUUACAUUUUAGACCUCAGAUCAGGUGGGACUACCCGCUGAACUUAAGCAUAUCAAUAAGCGGAGGA
rnacentral:misc_RNA from 1 species